GGAGGAUUGCUUGAGCUGAGGAGUUUGAUGUUGCAGUGAGCUAUGAUGACACCACUGCACUCCAGCCUGAGUGACAGAGAAAGACUCUGUCUCA
ensembl:miRNA